ACACACAUUGACAGAAGCGAUGGCUGUUUUGUGUUGUCUGUGUCAUGUUUGCACUUUGUUCGGGUUCUUUGCAUGUCUAACUCUUUGCUUUGACACACUCUGUCCUUGAGGUGUUGGCUGUUUAGCAUCUGGGUCACGUUUGGACUUUAUCCUGGUCACUUGUCUGUGUCAUUCAUGGCUUUGACAUAAAUUGAAGACAUUGGACUUUAAUUGUUUGCUGAUGUCGCCAUUUUCUCUGUUUCUUUUACAUGCCGAGAGACGAGAUCUGCAGUGGACGAUUAAAGAUGACGUUGACAUCCAUAGAGGUGAAAUUCCAUUAAGAAGAAGAAGAAGAAGAAGAAGAAGAAGAAGAAGAAGAAGAAGAAGAAGAAGAAGAAGAAGAAGAAGAAGAAGAAGAAGAAGAAGAAGAAGAAGAAGAAGAAGAAGAAGAAGAAGAAGAAGAAGAAGAAGCUCUGCUUCUAC